CGACAGGUGGGAUUGCGUUUUUAAAUAUUGAAUAGGCAUUAAGUGUGAUUAGGUGGCCAUUGUGCUAGAGUUAUAAGAGGAGAGUUAGAGGAAUAACCAAAGGAAGGAUGAAAUCUAUAGAUCUUGGUUGGAACAUCAAAAGCGAACAGCAUCACUCUAUUUUAUGACUGACACUGACUCACUAAAGUGUGGGGAGCAAACCGG
rnacentral:rRNA from 1 species